CUCCUGUUAGCCGAUCUCCAGGUGCCCAAUUGUGUAGAGGUAAGAAAUAUGCUGUGUUCACGAUUGGUAUAUUUCUUGCCUCUACCAAUUGAGCAUCUUGGACUCUGCCACUGUCCCCU
rnacentral:precursor_RNA from 12 species